rnacentral:rRNA from 1 species
UUAAGCAUAUCAAUAAGCGGAGGACAAGAAACCAACCGGGAUUGCCCUAGUAACGGCGAGUGAAGCGGCAACAGCUCAAAUUUGAAAUCUGGCUCUUUUAGAGUCCGAGUUGUAAUUUGCAGAGGGCGCUUUGGCUUUGGCAGCGGUCCAAGUUCCUUGGAACAGGACGUCACAGAGGGUGAGAAUCCCGUACGUGGUCGCUGGCUAUUGCCGUGUAAAGCCCCUUCGACGAGUCGAGUUGUUUGGGAAUGCAGCUCUAAAUGGGAGGUACAUUUCUUCUAAAGCUAAAUAUUGGCCAGAGACCGAUAGCGCACAAGUAGAGUGAUCGAAAGAUGAAAAGCACUUUGGAAAGAGAGUCAAACAGCACGUGAAAUUGUUGAAAGGGAAGCGCUUGCAGCCAGACUUGCUUGCAGUUGCUCAUCCGGGCUUUUGCCCGGUGCACUCUUCUGCAGGCAGGCCAGCAUCAGUUUGGGCGGUAGGAUAAAGGUCUCUGUCACGUACCUCUCUUCGGGGAGGCCUUAUAGGGGAGGCGACAUACUACCAGCCUGGACUGAGGUCCGCGCAUCUGCUAGGAUGCUGGCGUAAUGGCUGUAAGCGGCCCGU